CACGUAGGCACCAAGCGUUGUCCGGAUUUAUUGGGCGUAAAGAGCUCGUAGGCGGUUCGGUAAGUCGGGUGUGAAAACUCUGGGCUCAACCCAGAGCCGCCACCCGAUACUGCUGUGACUUGAGUUCGGUAGGGGAGCGGGGAAUUCCUGGUGUAGCGGUGAAAUGCGUAGAUAUCAGGAGGAACACCUGUGGUGUAGACGGCUUUCUGGACCAUAGCUGACGCUGAGACACGAAAGCGUGGGUAGCAAACAGG
rnacentral:rRNA from 1 species